UUGAAAGGGAAACGAUUGAAGUCAGUCGUACCUACGAGUAAUCAACCUACUCGAGUGCGAUUUUGUGGGUAUGUUGAGUUUAAACCUUCAUGCUUACAAAUUGGUGCUCUUUGGGCGUACUUUCUCGUAUGGUAGGUUAACAUCAAUUUCGAUCGUUAUAAAAUGAUUGGAGGAAUGUAGCUUCGACCUCGGUUGAAGUGUUAUAGCCUUUGGUAGAUGUAAUGAUUGGGAUUGAGGAUUGCGACGGAUACCCCUCUGGGCUAUUCGUCUGAUCUCUGGAAGUUACCUUGGUGUCGAAAGCGUGCUUACGAUAUAAAGGUUGACGGCCAAUAGGUAGAACGUGAUUAAAUUCGUUAAGGAGUUGACGUA
rnacentral:rRNA from 1 species